UACAGAGGUCUCAAGCGUUGUUCGGAUUCAUUGGGCGUAAAGGGUGUGUAGGUGGCGCCGUAAGUCGGGUGUGAAAUUUCGGAGCUUAACUCCGAAACUGCAUUCGAUACUGCGGUGCUUGAGGACUGGAGAGGAGACUGGAAUUCAUGGUGUAGCAGUGAAAUGCGUAGAGAUCAUGAGGAAGACCAGCGGCGAAGGCGAGUUCCUGGACAGUUACUGACGCUGAGGCACGAAGGCCAGGGGAGCAAACGGG
rnacentral:rRNA from 1 species